CUGGACUGUACACUCAACGCCGUUGUUUAGCAAUUUCCCUCCCAGAAAUCGCCUUUUAAACGAAAUCUUAAUUCCUUCACGUUUUGACACUUUAUUCUCUUUUAAGUGUUAUUGUAUUUAAACUACAUUGAUUAAUAAUCCAACCAAACGAACUCUCUUUUAGCUGAAAGAGCAGAGACAGGAAAAACUUGGAUUGCUUAUGUUAUCGAAUGACUAUUACUUUGCUGCUCUUAGCCUCAAAGUGAGGUUAUGAUUUUGAGGUUCAUAUGUGGUAGUUUUAAUAUUUUUUUUUUUAACUCAGUCCCGUUAAUUGUCUUGAUGUGGUAUUAGGAAACAGGAUUGUUGAGGCCUGCAAUCAAAUACCACUGCAGACUUUUCAAUACGUGAGAGAGGAGCUCACCCUAUGCUUGUCACACAAAUCAGGUGCCUCCAAAGCCCCUACCUAAUACCAACUUGCCGACUUUGAUAGCACUACAAGCAUCUGCUCCAAAUCACCACUACUACCUGCCGUGGCAUCACCACUCACCAACACAUUCAUUCUGGCAGCAGCACUAGUACCUCCUCCCACUGCACACCACCAUUUAUGCUCUUUUAACCACACCAGCACUCCUUCUCAUAGCACUACCAAUAUCUAACAUACCCAAUACCAAUAGCUCGCCCUUCCUAUAGCUUUUCCAGCAUCCACCUAGUCAACCAAUGCGAAGAACAGUAUAACAUGUUUAUUAUUUAAGUUAGAUUAGAUUUGGUUAGAUUAGAUUAGGUUAGGUUAGAUUAAGUUAGGUUAGAUUAGGUUAGGUUAGAUUAGAUUAGGUUAGAUUAGAUUAGAUUAGAUUAUGUUAGGUUAGGUUAGGUUAAUUUAGGUUUCCUUGUUUAAAGUUUGUUAUUGACAAUGGAAAUUUGAAAGGUUUACAGGAUUCAGGUUUAUCUGUCAUGGAUUGUUAAAUUGGUUAUACCAUUGAAAUAUGAAUAAAUGAACUGUUCCAGGUGGUUAACCCAAAACUGUAUUUGUGUUCUAAUGAAAGAGUAUGUGUGUAUUUCCUGUCAUGGUACCAGUUUCCUCUGCUGUGAAAGGGUCUGUUCCAACAUAACCACAUUGGAAUACAUUAUUCUAGUCAACCAAUGCCCUGUCUGAAAUAACGUGAAGAACAGCAUAUCCUUGUUAAAUUGCUUAAUACCUUGGAAAUAAAUAAAUAAGAGUGGUACCCCAAAGCUAUAUGUGUUAUUCUAAUGAAAGGGUAUAUGUGUAUUUCCUGUUCCGGUUCCAGGUUCAUCUGACGUGAAACGGGUUGUUCCAUCAAAGCUCACUGUGUAAAUUUAUUAGUAGUUAUGGAUUUUUAGAGUAUAUUUUAUAUUUAGUCAUAGUAUGAUUUUGGGAAAUAAAUUUUUGUUUUCCUUGAA